AUUCCAGCUCCAAUAGCGUAUAUUAAAGUUGUUGCGGUUAAAAAGCUCGUAGUUGGAUUUCUGCCGAGGACGACCGGUCUGCCCACUGGGUGUGUAUCUGGUUCGGCCUGGGCAUCUUCUUGGAGAACGUAUCUGCACUUGACUGUGUGGUGCGGUAUCCAGGACCUUUACUUUGAGGAAAUUAGAGUGUUUCAAGCAGGCACACGCCUUGAAUACAUUAGCAUGGAAUAAUAAGAUAGGACCUCGGUUCUAUUUUGUUGGUUUCUAGAACUGUGGUAAUGAUUAAUAGGGACAGUUGGGGGUAUUCAUAUUUGAUUGUCAGAGGUGAAAUUCUUGGAUUUAUGAAAGAUGAACUUAUGCGAAAGCAUUUACCAGGGAUGUUUUCAUUG
rnacentral:rRNA from 1 species